UACGGGGGGGAGCAAGCGUUGUUCGGAUUUACUGGGCGUAAAGGGCGCGUAGGCGGCCACCGCAAGUCAGUUGUGAAAUCUCUGGGCUUAACCCAGAACGGUCAGCUGAUACUGCGGGGCUAGAGUGCAGAAAGGGGCAACUGGAAUUCUCGGUGUAGCGGUGAAAUGCGUAGAUAUCGAGAGGAACACCUGCGGCGAAAGCGGCGCACUGGACCACAUCUGACGCUGAGGCGCGAAAGCUAGGGGAGCAAACAGG
rnacentral:rRNA from 1 species